GGGGAUGACUGGCUUUGACAGCAUGUAGAGGCGAUAAGUAAGCAUGCAGAGUUUUGGUGUUGAAACUCUAUAAUACCAACAGCAUCGAACUAUAAUUGGCGAAAAUAACAAUUACGCUCUCGCUGCGUAACCCGAAUAGAGUAAGGUUCCUUAAUUCUCCUCACAGGUAGGAGAACGAGACAUCAGCCCAUUGCCCCGUUCCGAGACGUUUGGACAAGCUGGUGCUAAGAAAAUCGGAAAUAGGACCUGUGCAGCCUUGACACAGGCCCGAAACCAAAAGGCUAAGGUUGCAGUUGGUAGUCGUGAGCCUGCUGCAACUCGAAAACCAAGUCAAUGACUAAGCAUGUAGAAAGCCUAUUGACUCCAUGUUUGGACGAGGGUUCGAUCCCCUCCAUCUCCACUU
rnacentral:tmRNA from 1 species